CCUACGGGUGGCAGCAGUGGGGAAUAUUGCACAAUGGGCGAAAGCCUGAUGCAGCAACGCCGCGUGAAGGAAGAAGGGUUUCGGCUCGUAAACUUCUAUCAACAGGGACGAAGAACGUGACGGUCCCUGAGGAAUAAGCCACGGCUAACUACGUGCCAGCAGCCGCGGUACUACGGAGGUGGCAAGCGUUAUCCGGAUUUACUGGGUGGAAAGGGCGUGUAGGCGGGACUGCAAGUCAGAUGUGAAAACCACGGGCUCAACCUGUGGCCUGCAUUUGAAACUAGAGUUCUUGAGUACGGGAGAGGCAGACGGAAUUCCUAGUGUAGCGGUGAAAUGCGUAGAUAUUAGGAGGAACACCAGUGGCGAAGGCGGUCUGCUGGACAGCAACUGACGCUGAGGCGCGAAAGCGUGGGGAGCAAACAGGAUUAGAUACCCUUGUAGUC
rnacentral:rRNA from 1 species